GGGUCAACGGUCUGGAAGGGUAUUCAGUUCGGACUUUUAAUCCGUUGGUCGCGUGUUCGAGUCACGCACGACCCACCA
rnacentral:tRNA from 1 species